GGUUCGGUAGCGGAUGGUCCGCGUCUGCAUUAUUUAGUUGAGGAAAGUAACGAAGAUUUGGCAGAAGUUCGCUCGUUCGAUUCGAGCCCGAGUCA